ensembl:lncRNA
CGACUCAGAGCAGAGUACCCAACGAAGUAGAGGGCAGCUGGGUCCGGCGGCAGAGGAAGGGCGACGGGGGGCCGGGCUGGGCCGGGACUGCGUGGUCUGUCAGAAUGCAGCAGUGAACAAAGUGUUGCUGCCCUGCAGACACGCCUGUGUGUGUGACAGCUGUGUGUCACACUUCCAACACUGCCCCAUGUGCAGGGCCUUCAUCCAGGAGUCCUUCACACUGGUACAGGGACCACCUGCACAGCAAUACUGAGCUCUAUUUUACUCAAGACAACACAUGCAGCAGGAUCGGUACGAUGGCAACCGUCACGCCAAACUGGUUACAGCUGUGGGUUAACCGAUUAUUGGCCGGGUUCCAAUUGGUCUCAGCAACGAGAACAGCGACAAUGGUGCAUCUUAAAAGACUUUACUUUGUUUUGCUUUAUUUGGAGUAUUAAAGCAAAUAAGUGAAGCAUGGACACUAAGGAAAUAAUGCAAAAAUGCUGUGAAUAUAAGGAACUGAUGAGUAAAAAAAAAAAAGAGGAUGGACUCCAUGAUGGCCGUGUAGAAGUGCACCGUCAUCGUCUUUGGCAGGUUGAAUUUAUUUUCCAGCUGCCUCAGGAAGAACACCCUCUGCUGAGCCUUCUUGGGGAUGGAGCUGAUGUUCAGCUCCCUCUUGAGGUCCUGGGUGAUGAUGGAGCCCACACGGGGUGAUGGUGGAAGGCGGGGCUCUGUCCUUCCUGAAAUCCACAACCAUCUCCAUGUUGUAUAGUAUCCACGGUUAUAUUGCACCCAUAAAAGCAAUGGGGGAACAAGUUAGACCUGGCUUGUAACCUCAAGUGAGUGUGUAAAUAUCAAAGUGACCAUAAUAAGCACAUUAGUUAAUGCGCCCAGUGUCUUCAUAAAGUCCAGAGCCGUGCCGAUUUUUGAUUUUUCCUUUGUAACUUGUAGCUGUACUGGGAAGUCUUCACUCUGUUCUGUCAACACUACCGCUGUCAAAAUUGUUCAGAAAUGACGUUCGAAUAUAUUCCAAUAUCUGGUUGCGCAUUAGGCGCGUCAAUAACAGGACAAAUGAAUACAACGAGACAGAACUACUUGUAUAGGUCGUUUAUUGAAGUUUAAACCGAUUUAACAACAUAUUACCUGCACACAAAUAAGUAAAUUAACUGACGGACAAGAGCGCGGACCUCUCUCU